UACGUAGGCAGCGAGCGUUGCUCGGAAUCACUGGGCGUAAAGCGCACGUAGGCGGUUUCUUAAGUCAGGGGUGAAAUCCUGGAGCUCAACUCCAGAACUGCCUUUGAUACUGGGAGACUUGGAGUCCGGGAGAGGUGAGUGGAACUGCGAGUGUAGAGGUGAAAUUCGUAGAUAUUCGCAAGAACACCAGUGGCGAAGGCGGCUCACUGGCCCGGUACUGACGCUGAGGUGCGAAAGCGUGGGGAGCAAACAGG
rnacentral:rRNA from 1 species